AGUGCAGAAAGAAAAAUGAGAGUGAUUGAGAGAGCGUGGGAUCAAGCAAGAGAGAGCUUGUAAAAGCACAGAUUUCUUUAGACUUUAAACAGAAUAGAUAGAUAGUUGAUUGUAGUUUGAUUCCUGCAAAGAAAAAGGUUGUAUAGGAUAAGAAUUUCAAUUGACCUUAACAUUAUCCCAAGGACACUCUGAUUUAAUAUACUAAUAUACAUUCUAUCACACGAAUGGAGUAUUUAGGGCAAACACAAACCGCUUCCUAUAUGACAGGACCGCGUAUGGAUGGUGGUGGCACUCCCACAUUUCUACCGUCUAUUACAACAAUGAGGUCAUCGUACAAAGCUUAUGAUACGUAUCCAGCUCCUACUCCUUUAAGGAGAUCCCUAACUACGCUGCCAUGGAGACCAACCACAUACUACAGCGCUGCAAGAGUUGAACCAAGUAUCUCAAAUACAAAAAGCAUGCCUGAACCUUUAUCAGACAAAAAUAGAUUGACCGAAUUGGAUAGUAUCAAGGUUCCACCAGUGUUUGCUGCAGCUAGAAAUGCACUUUAUACAAGAUAUACACCAAAUGAUUGGUUGGCUUCUAAUAGUAGCAAUGUUAUGGCAUCAGAUAGAGUUAGAGGGGGUUCAGAACGUCUUAGGUUCGACACUGUUCGCUUGUGUAGGGAAGCUGAUGACAAAACCAGACGAGCUCAAUCCGAUGUUGGUAAAAAAUUGGGAGAAAGACUGGGAGAUAUUCAAUUUUGGAAGACUGAGGUUAAGAAUGAAACUGAUAACAUGGUUAACGAAAUUGAUGCACUUUCUAGAUCCAAAUCAGUUUUAGAAAAAGCACUUGCAGAAACUGAAAACCCACUGCACAUUGCUCAAGAAUGUUUGUACAAUCGAGAAAAGAGACAAGGAAUCGAUCUAGUUCAUGACAACGUCGAGAGAGAAUUGAUUAAGGAAGUUGACACUAUCAAAAGAUGCCAGGAAAAGAUGAGACAAGUUAUCGACAAAGCAAACGCUCAAUUGGCAUUGAACAGAGCGGCUCAGCACGAACUAGAAAAGGAUUCACGCGAUAAAGAAGUAGCAACAAAUCUUGAUGAAACUUGCCAUGGUCUAAGGAAUACCUCCAGAGGAAUAGCCUUCCACGAUGGUAUUGAGAGAGUCGAUAAUACAGUGUCCGUUCCAGAAACUUGGGCCAAGUUUUCGCAUGAUAAUGUUGCUAGAUCUCAAGCAGAAAGAAAAGCUUCAAAGGACGUCCGCGAUCAAAUCGAAGCUCUUUUGAACGAAUGCUCCUCGGCUAUGAUGAAUCAGUGGAAUGUCGUCAAUAGCGCUUUCUCUGACAGAAUUAAAGAGUACAUUGAUGCAAAGAACAAACUGCAGAACGCUUUAAGCAAGACACUGCAAGAGGUCUUCGAUAUGGAAAAGAAUAUUGAACUGUUGAAAAAGACUAUAACCGACAAACAAGCUCCACUUCAAGUUGCCCAAACAAGAUUGGCGACAAGAACUCGCAGACCCAACGUUGAAGGUUGUCGCGAUCCAGUUCAACACAGGUUGGUUGAAGAAGUACACGAAAUUUCUGAAACGGUUGAAGCUCUUCAAGGCAAACUGAGAGAAGCUGAAAAUGCUUUGCAACAUCUUCUAAGAACCAAAUCAUCAUUGGAACACGAUCUGGCUAUUAAGAAUAAUUCUUUGUUUAUCGACAGAGAGAAGUGUAUGGGUAUGCGUAAAACCUUCCCAAUGUCACCAAGGGUCGUUAGCUAUUGAAAGUUAAGAGAAAAUAUUUUUUAAAGCAUUCUCUUUUUAAAUUUUAUGGCACGAUCUGUGAUAAUAAUAUUUGAUUUAAAGCAUUAAUUUUUUCAUACUGGUUUUAGCACUUAUAUCAUCUGUAUUAAGAAAUAUCUACACUAAUAUUAAGUAAACUAAUCUUAAAAAUAUCAAUAUAUGAUAUGCAAUUAAUUUUAAAGUUGAAAAAAGGAAAUACUGCAAAAAACAAGUACACAAUACAUUUUUCCUAUUCAAUAACUUUAUAAUUUCUAUUGUGACCUUAAAGUAUAAUAUCAAAUUUAAGCUUUUCCUUGUUUUUGUAUCAUUUUUUAUUAUUUUUCAAUAUGCUUUUCAAUGAGAAGUUAAAAUAAAGAAGAAGGCUAAAGAAAAACUUUUGGAUUAUUUUUCUUCAUUUUAAUUUUCGGCAUGAUGACUUACUUAUUUUAUUAUUAGUCAUUACAUUAAUAUUUUACGAAUUUAAUUGUGAUAUUUUAUGCUAUGCACCUGGUUUCGAACUGCCUAAAAUAUUGAUUGAUCAGUAUUAAAAAUAUCUUGUAAUGUCGUUUGUAUUGUUUAAAUGAGGCACAAACAAAUCAAAAUUCACGCUUUCAUUUCGAAUAAAUCAAUUUAAAGGUAUAUAUUUAUAUUUCCAAAGGAAUAUUUAUAUAUCUCUAUUUUUGCAUAAUUAAAUGGUAAUAUUUCGAAGUAAGGGAUUUAUUUAUGAAACAUCUAAUAUAUUCCAGCUUUGUAAAGUACAAGAAUAACAUCUAUAGAAUUUGUGACGAAUAAAAUUCAAAUGAUAAUAUUCAUGUAUGAUAAAUUUAAACGCACAUUGCUAUUUUUAAGGUAGAAAGUUAACUUAGCAACAGGAUAAUGUUUUAAAAAGUAGAAAUACUGAGGGAAGGAGGCUAAUUUGAACAGGGGAAUGUGGUUGUUCGUCAAAUAGGCUAUCACUCGAUCGACAGCUAUAAUUGUACUUAAUUAUUUAGUAUCGUUAUGGAUUAGCAAUUUUCUCUAUACCUUUAAAUUUAUACAGCCAAUAAACUGUACCUUUACCGAGAUCUAAGAAUAAAAGAUAUUGAUGAUUCAAACUAAAAGACUAAACAUUGAUAUUUGCUACCGGAAAUUUUUU
rnacentral:misc_RNA from 1 species